UUUGUCAUUCACAAAUCAUUUUUGUUUUUCUCCACUGAUACCAUUUUGUCACCGUAAGAUAUUCAAGAUGAUCGUUACUCUUUUUUUUACUCUCUCAUUCUUCCCAGACAUUGCGAUAACAUCACAACAUUUAAUCCAACAAUCACCAGUAAAUCUUCUGAUUAAACCUGCACAAGGAAAAGCACAUUUUGGCUGUUACCAUGGCGACAACAACUACCCCUACAUGCUUUGGUACCGGUCGGCAGCGGGAGGCCGCAGGGACAUGGAGCUGAUCGGACUGCUCCACUAUGAAAACCCAAACCUUGAGAAGAACUUUGAGGCCCGUUGCAACAUGACGGGCCACUCGAAGGGCCGAGCUGAGCUCGUCAUCUCCACCGUGGAGCCAGCAGACAGCGCAGUGUACUUCUGUGCAGCGAGUCGACACAGUGGUACAAAGCCUUCCGGCUCUUUCACAAAAAGCCUGUGACCCGCAGCGCCAAACGUGCAGCUGCAUCAACACUACGCCACUGAACGGCACAGUUCAGCUCAUCUCAGAGGACCAAUCAUAAAAGCAUCGUGUGGAGACAAUUAAUAACCUACGAAUCGAGCUGACGU